CAAAUUAGAGCUUGUAGCGUUUUACUUACAUUAAAAAGAUUGAUUGUUUAAACAAUUUAAUUUGA
rnacentral:tRNA from 1 species